GGUGCAAGCGUUGUCCGGAAUUAUUGGGCGUAAAGAGCUCGUAGGUCGUUUGUUACGUCGGAUGUGAAAACCUGAGGCUCAACCUCAGGCCUGCAUUCGAUACGGGCAAACUAGAGUUUGGUAGGGGAGACUGGAAUUCCUGGUGUAGCGGUGGAAUGCGCAGAUAUCAGGAGGAACACCAAUGGCGAAGGCAGGUCUCUGGGCCAAUACUGACACUGAGGAGCGAAAGUCUGGGGAGCGAACAGGAUUAGAUACCCUGGUAGUCCAGACCGUAAACGGUGGGCACUAGUUGUGGGAACCUUCCACGGUUUCUGCGACGCAGCUAACGCAUUAAGUGCCCCGCCUGGGGAGUACGAUCGCAAGAUUAAAACUCAAAGGAAUUGACGGGGCCCCGCACAAGCAGCGGAGCAUGCGGCUUAAUUCGACGCAACGCGAAGAACCUUACCAAGGCUUGACAUAUAGGGAAAAGUGGCAGAGAUGUCAUGUCCGC
rnacentral:rRNA from 1 species